rnacentral:rRNA from 1 species
CAGCCGUAAACUAUGCGCGUUAGGUGUACUGGUGACCACGAGUCACCGGGGUGCCGAAGGGAAACCGUGAAACGUGCCGCCUGGGAAGUACGGUCGCAAGGCUGAAACUUAAAGGAAUUGGCGGGGGAGCACCACAACAGGUGGAGCCUGCGGUUUAAUUGGACUCAACGCCGGGAAGCUCACCGGAUAGGACAGCAGAAUGAUUGCCGGGCUGAAGACCCUGCAUGACUAGCUGAGAGGAGGUGCAUGGCGUCAGUG